rnacentral:rRNA from 1 species
GUGGGGAAUUUUGGACAAUGGGGGAAACCCUGAUGCAGCGACGCCGCGUGAGUGAUGAAGGCCUUCGGGUCGUAAAGCUCUGUCGUAUGGGACUAACACAAUGAAGGUACCAUGCAAGAAAGGAUCGGCUAACUUCGUGCCAGCAGCCGCGGUAAGACGAGGGAUCCUAGCGUUGUUCGGAAUCAUUGGGCGUAAAGCGGGUGUAGGCGGAUUUAUAAGUCAGGUGUGAAAUCCCAGGGCUCAACCCUGGAAGUGCACUUGAUACUGUAAAUCUUGAGUGUGGUAGAGGUUACUGGAAUUGUUGGUGUAGUGGUGAAAUACGUAGAUAUCAACAGGAAUACCGGAGGCGAAGGCGAGUAACUGGGCCAACACUGACGCUGAGACCCGAAAGCGUGGGGAUCAAACAGGAUUAGAUACCCUAGUAGUCC